rnacentral:rRNA from 1 species
GAUGAACGCUGGCGGCGUGCCUAAUACAUGCAAGUCGAGCGAACAGACGAGGAGCUUGCUCCUCUGACGUUAGCGGCGGACGGGUGAGUAACACGUGUAUAACCUACCUAUAAGACUGGGAUAACUUCGGGAAACCGGAGCUAAUACCGGAUAACAUGUUGAACCGCAUGGUUCAACAGUGAAAGACGGUCUUGCUGUCACUUAUAGAUGGAUCCGCGCCGCAUUAGCUAGUUGGUAAGGUAACGGCUUACCAAGGCAACGAUGCGUAGCCGACCUGAGAGGGUGAUCGGCCACACUGGAACUGAGACACGGUCCAGACUCCUACGGGAGGCAGCAGUAGGGAAUCUUCCGCAAUGGGCGAAAGCCUGACGGAGCAACGCCGCGUGAGUGAAGAAGGUCUUCGGAUCGUAAAACUCUGUUAUUAGGGAAGAACAAAUGUGUAAGUAACUAUGCACGUCUUGACGGUACCUAAUCAGAAAGCCCCGGCUAACUACGUG